rnacentral:rRNA from 1 species
GUGCACGCUGGCGGCAGGCUUAACACAUGCCAGUCGAGCGGCAGCGGGUCCUUCGGGAUGCCGGCGAGCGGCGGACGGGUGAGGAAUACAUCGGAAUCUGCCCUGUCGUGGGGGAUAACCUAGGGAAACUUAGGCUAAUACCGCAUACGACCUACGGGUGAAAGCGGGGGAUCGCAAGACCUCGCGCGACAGGAUGAGCCGAUGUCCGAUUAGCUAGUUGGCGGGGUAAAGGCCCACCAAGGCGACGAUCGGUAGCUGGUCUGAGAGGAUGAUCAGCCACACUGGGACUGAGACACGGCCCAGACUCCUACGGGAGGCAGCAGUGGGGAAUAUUGGACAAUGGGCGCAAGCCUGAUCCAGCCAUGCCGCGUGGGUGAAGAAGGCCUUCGGGUUGUAAAGCCCUUUUGUCCGGGAAGAAAUCGUCUGGGCUAAUACCCCGGGCGGAUGACGGUACCGGAAGAAUAAGCACCGGCUAACUUCGUG